GGUGAACGCUGGCGGUAUGCUUAACACAUGCAAGUCGAACGGAGUGCUUCGGCACUUAGUGGCGGACGGGUGAGUAACGCGAGAGAAUCUGGCUUCGGGUUCGGGACAACAGUGGGAAACUGCUGCUAAUACCGGAUGUGCCUAAGGGUAAAAGAUUAAUUGCCCGAAGAUGAGCUCGCGUCCGAUUAGCUAGUUGGUGUGGUAAGAGCGCACCAAGGCGUCGAUCGGUAGCUGGUCUGAGAGGACGAUCAGCCACACUGGGACUGAGACACGGCCCAGACUCCUACGGGAGGCAGCAGUGGGGAAUUUUCCGCAAUGGGCGAAAGCCUGACGGAGCAAUACCGCGUGAGGGAGGAAGGCUCUUGGGUUGUAAACCUCUUUUCUCAGGGAAGAAAAAAAUGACGGUACCUGAGGAAUCAGCAUCGGCUAACUCCGUGCCAGCAGCCGCAGUAAAAC
rnacentral:rRNA from 1 species